rnacentral:rRNA from 1 species
UUGGAGGGCAAGUCUGGUGCCAGCAGCCGCGGUAAUUCCAGCUCCAAUAGCGUAUAUUAAAGUUGUUGCAGUUAAAAAGCUCGUAGUUGAAUUUCGGGGUUAGUAGGUUGGUCAUGCCACUGGUAUGUACUGGUCUCACUGAUUCCUCCUUCCUGAUGAGACGUAAUGCCAUUAAUUUGGUGUUGCGAGGAAUCUGGACUGUUACUUUGAAAAAAUUAGAGUGUUUAAAGCAGGCUAACGCUUGAAUACAUUAGCAUGGAAUAAUGAAAUAGGACGUUCGAUCUUAUUUUGUUGGUUUCUAGGAUUGACGUAAUGAUUAAUAGGGAUAGUUGGGGGCAUUAGUAUUCAAUUGUCAGAGGUGAAAUUCUUGGAUUUAUUGAAGACUAACUACUGCGAAAGCAUUUGCCAAGGAUGUUUUCAUUAAUCAAGAACGAAAGUUAGGGGAUCGAAGACGAUCAGAUACCGUCGUAGUCUUAACCAUAAACUAUGCCGGCUAGGGAUCGGAUGAUGUUAAUUUUUUAAUGACUCAUUCGGCGCCUUACGGGAAAC